AGUUCGUAGGUGACCUGCGGAGGAUCAUUAUUGUUUCGGGGAAAACUAAAACCCCAUUAGGUGUCAAGCUAGUGGAGGGAGCUUGGCAUCGAGGGCCCUGAAAAAAGAGGGAUUUCUUCAACCUUGCCUUUUUUUGCGCACCCCUUGUUUCCUCGGCAGCUUCGCCUGCCAACGAGGACCUCCUUAAAACCUUUUGCAAUCAGCAUAACGUUCUGAAAACAAACAAUAUUAAAACUUUCAACAAUGGAUCUCUUGGCUCUGGCAUCGAUGAAGAACGCAGCGAAAUGCGAUAAGUAGUGUGAAUUGCAGAAUUCAGUGAAUCAUCGAAUCUUUGAACGCACAUUGCGCCCGCUAGUAUUCUGGCGGGCAUGCCUGUUCGAGCGUCAUUUCAACCAUCAAGCUUCAGGCUUGUGUUGGGGCCCUGCGGCUGCCGCAGGCCCCUAAAAGCAGUGGCGGACUCGCUGUCAUACUGAGCGCAGUAACACAUCUCGCUCAGGGCGUGGCGGCGGGCACCGGCCGUAAAACUCUUACACCUAAGGUUGACCUCGGAUCAGGUAGGAAUACCCGCUGAACUUAAGCAUAUCAAUAAGCGGAGGA
rnacentral:rRNA from 1 species